AGGCCUGAAGAGAGAAGCAGGGUCUAAUUCGUAGCCUCUGUGGCAGCUGUUGAUCAGCACUUGCCCCUCUCUUUCUCUCCA
rfam:Myotis lucifugus cont2.13230, whole genome shotgun sequence.